rnacentral:misc_RNA from 1 species
GUGAAUGUAAGGCUCUCUUCUUUGAAUGGAAUGCGUGAAAAAACCAUCGGUGUGGCCCUUGAAGCAGCUGGUGGUUUAUACAGAAAGCUUGCGAAAAAGUUUCCUAGGAAAGGACCUUGCAUAUUUAAAAGGCGGGAGUUGGCUACUUCUUUUGAAACAAGGGCAAGGUUUCCUGAAUUAGUGAUACAAGAGGAGAAGCGUGUCCGGUUUGUCGUGGUUAAUGGUUUGGCCAUUGUGGAAAAACCAACUAGCUUAUGUAUUGAUGAUGCAGAAUGGUUCAGAAGAAUGACUGGCCGAAAUGAAGUCACUGUAUCCCCCAGAGACUACAAAUUCUAUGCUCCAAGACACAAGUAUAGACGUG